ACCUCGGUAGUGUAAUGGAUCAGCACGGCAGACCGGAUAUCUGUAAGUGUGAGCUCAAGUCCCGCAUGAGGUU
rfam:Dictyocaulus viviparus strain HannoverDv2000 D_viviparus-1.0_Cont18849.1, whole genome shotgun sequence.